CUGAAACUAGAGGGGAAAGCAGGGCUCACUGAGCACCGUUCCAGCAUCUGGACACCACAGAUCCCCUUCCCUCCACGCUGAAAACUACACUUCUCGAACCUUCACUCAACACUACUUUCCCCAAAGCCAGAAGAUGCACAAGGAGGAGCACGAGGUGUCUGUGCUGGGGGCACCCCAUAGCACCAUCCUCCCAAGGUCCACCAUGAUCAACAUCCAAAGCGAGACCUCCAUGCCCGACCAUAUCGUCUGGUCCCUGUUCAACACCAUCUUCUUGAACUGGUGCUGCCUGGGCUUCAUAGCAUUCGCCUACUCCGUGAAGUCUAGGGACAGGAAGAUGGUUGGCGACGUGACCGGGGCCCAGGCCUAUGCCUCCACCACCAAGUGCCUGAACAUCUUGGCCCUGAUUGUGGGCAUCCUCAUGACCAUCGGAUUCAUCCUGUUACUGGUGUUUGGCUCUGUGGCAAUCUACCAUAUUAUGUUACAGAUCAUACAGGAAAAACAGCGCUACUAGUAGCUGCCCAUAGCCUGCGACCCUUGUACUCCACUUUGCAAUGCUGGCCCUCACGCUGGAGCUGUUGGCCCUGUCCCCUUGGUCCUGCCCCUAGAUACAGCAUUUUAUCCCCACACACCUGUCCACAAUGACAUUCAAUAAAGUGCACUUGCUUGU